GCCGGACUAGCUCAAUUGGCAGAGCGCACGAUUAUGGACCUUCGGGUCUGAGGCUCGUGAAGGUUGUGAGUUCGAUUCUCGCGUUCGGUC
rfam:Aspergillus terreus NIH2624 scaffold_14 genomic scaffold, whole genome shotgun sequence.